rnacentral:rRNA from 1 species
UACGUAGGUGGCAAGCGUUGUCCGGAUUUAUUGGGUUUAAAGGGUGCGUAGGCGGCCCUGUAAGUCAGUGCUGAAAUAUCCCAGCUUAACUGGGAGGGUGGCAUUGAUACUGCGGGGCUAGAGUACAGAUGAGGUAGGCGGAAUUGACGGUGUAGCGGUGAAAUGCGUAGAUAUCGAGAGGAACACCUGCGGCGAAGGCGGGUUGCUGGGCUGACACUGACGCUGAGGAGCGAAAGCUAGGGGAGCAAACGGG